rnacentral:rRNA from 1 species
UACGGAGGGAGCUAGCGUUGUUCGGAAUUACUGGGCGUAAAGCGCACGUAGGCGGCUUUGUAAGUUAGAGGUGAAAGCCUGGGGCUCAACUCCAGAAUUGCCUUUAAGACUGCAUCGCUUGAAUCAUGGAGAGGCGAGUGGAAUUCCGAGUGUAGAGGUGAAAUUCGUAGAUAUUCGGAAGAACACCAGUGGCGAAGGCGACACACUGGCCCGUUACUGACGCUGAGGCGCGAAAGCGUGGGGAGCAAACAGG